CGCUUAGUGGCCGAAUAGGUGUAAGUCUUUUAAACUUAUUAUAGUGCACACUCUUAGCG
rnacentral:tRNA from 1 species